ACUUUUGGUGGAGGAACCAAACUCAUCAUUAACUCUGGCACCAUGGUCAGGCCCUCAGUCUCUCUGCUUCCCCCCUCCUCUGAGCAGCUCUCUGGGGGCUCGGCCACGCUGGCCUGCCUGCUGACCGGCUACUCUCCUCAAGGAGCCGUGGUGAGCUGGCAGGUGGACGGUACGGAGGUGACGGAGGGGGUCCUGAGCAGCUCAGAGGAGGAGAAGAGCGGCCGCUACAGCAGCAGCAGCACCCUGAGCCUGAGCCAGGAGCGCUGGAUGGAAGGAGAGCUGUACUCCUGCAGGGUCCUCCAUCAGGGCCACAGCCAGACCCAGUCCCUCCACAGGAGCCAGUGUAAGGGCUAGAGGGGCCGGCUGAAGCCCAGGACAGGAGCUCUGUGUGGGGGGGAGCAGCUCUGAUCAAUAGCAGUUUGAAUGCUUGUAGAGGAAACUGAAGCUUUGUGUGACAGAGAACAACACUGCUGUAAAGUGUUGGACAACAACAACUUAGAGAGGAAUGUGUGUCGCUCAGC